UACGUAGGGUGCAAGCGUUGUCCGGAAUUAUUGGGCGUAAAGAGCUCGUAGGCGGCUUGUCGCGUCGGCUGUGAAAACCUGGGGCUCAACCCCGGGCCUGCAGCCGAUACGGGCAAGCGUAGAAUUCAGUAGGGGAGACUGGAAUUCCUGGUGUAGCGGUGAAAUGCGCAGAUAUCAGGAGGAACACCGGUGGCGAAGGCGGGUCUCUGGGCCGAUAUUGACGCUGAGGAGCGAAAGCGUGGGAGCGAACAGG
rnacentral:rRNA from 1 species